GACGUAGGGCGCGAGCGUUGUCCGGAUUUAUUGGGCGUAAAGAGCUCGUAGGCGGCUUGUUGCGUCGACUGUGAAAACCCGCGGCUUAACUGCGGGAUUGCAGUUGAUACGGGCAGGCUAGAGUUCGGUAGGGGAGACUGGAAUUCCUGGUGUAGCGGUGAAAUGCGCAGAUAUCAGGAGGAGCACCGGUGGCGAAGGCGGGUCUCUGGGCCGAUACUGACGCUGAGGAGCGAAAGCGUGGGGAGCGAACAGG
rnacentral:rRNA from 1 species